AAGAAAAUGUUUUCCUUCAGACAAAAGAGAGUGGUGAUUCAGCCGUAGGCAAUACAGGGUAAUGUCAAGUUCUUCUCUCAGUCAGAUUCAUCUCUCUUCGAUUUGAGGUCCAGUGAAGGAGAUCCAUCAAAGAUCUUUUCAUGAACAAAAGACAGUAAGUGUUUCAGACUCACACAGACUCCUUGGGGACGCGGUGAGGAGCUAACCAAUUGCACAUGGGAAAUGAGGAUUUUCGUGGUUAGAAAAACUGCAGUGUUUGGUAAUUUUCCACAUGGAGUUGAAGUUAGUGAGUUGUCCGGGCUGCAGAGGAAACUGCUGUAUCGUUAAACCCAAGGCCGACGAUGAAAACAGCCGCCCUUCCAGCAAAAUAGAUACCCCUCCUCAUUUCAUAAAUCUUGUUUCCAACGAGACUAAAGCCAGGAACGGACUCUUGCUCACAGCAAUGGCCUGAAACGUCCUGUAUCAGGGUAGUCCGCUCAAAGGGACCCAGGGCACCCGGCAACAACCUCAGGGCCGGGGAGGUGAUGGUAACCGACAGCCAGGGUCUGGCCCGGCUGCUCUAAUUCCCAGCAAGACCUCCGCAUCACAGCAGAGAAUGGUAGACAAAUAAAAACCUACACCACCGGCCAUGAGCAAGAACCACAAACGCUGCUGUGACUGAUCAAGACUUCAGCUGUCAAGAGUUGGCCAACUUCUCCCUCAUCUUCUCCCCCUCGCCUGCCCACCCCCCUUCCCUCACAAAAAGCUUGUUAAUGGUGGAGGGCCCAACAGGAAAUGUUUUUACACCUAGCACCAAAUGCUAAUCCUUCACUGAAGCCUUCAGUAUAUUUAAAUGUUUAGGUUACCGAGGCAAAAGGGAUUCCAAUAGACAUUACUUAGGGAAUGUGGAGAUUUAACAAUUUGGCUAAGCGUGUAUACAUUUAUUGAAUGUCCUCUUUAAUUAAGGAUUACCUUAAAAAAGCACAUGACAAUUCAAAGAGAAAGGGAAUUUAAUUAUCAUUUAAGCCAUAACCAGCAUGAAACUUUGUGUUCCUUCAACAGAUGUUUGGGAUGAAGGAGAGGGGUGUAAAUAAAUUCUUAGUAGAUUAUAUAACAUUUCUUAACACAUCUAGAUUCACAUAUUUCUUCAUUUUCACAGAGUCCACAUUGUAUUGUCUUGAAAUACUUUUUUUGUAGAACUAGAUUUGACAUGCACUUGUGAUACAUCAACCACUACAGAUAUCAAGCCAUUCUAAUCCAAAUAUGGAUAAAAGAUUCUGGUGAAAAUUCUGCAUUGUCUUAUUUUGUAAAAAAUGGUUUGAAUUUUUAAGUACAUUAAUUGAAUUAAA